rnacentral:misc_RNA from 1 species
UCUUGUUGUGGACAAGAAUCCAGCAGCUGGAGAUUUUACAUCCAUUCAAGACGCUAUUGAUUCUCUUCCAUUCAUUAAUCUUGUGAGAGUGGUCAUCAAGGUCCAUGCAGGAGUUUACAAAGAGAAAGUUAAUAUACCUCCCUUAAAAUCCUUCAUAACCAUAGAAGGAGCAGGAGCAGAUAAAACAAUUGUACAAUGGGGAGACACUGCUCAAACACCAGGGGCGAAAGGGCAACCUAUGGGGACCUACAAUUCUGCAACUUUUGCUGUGAAUUCACCUUAUUUUAUUGCCAAGAACAUUACAUUCAAGAAUACAACACCAGUGCCACCACCAGGAGCAAUAGGAAAGCAAGCAGUAGCAUUUAGAAUAUCAGCAGAUACAGCAGUUUUCUUGGGGUGUAGAUUCUUAGGAGCACAGGACACACUAUAUGAUCAUCUGGGCAGGCAUUAUUACAAGGAUUGUUACAUUGAAGGUUCUGUGGACUUCAUCUUUGGGAAUGGCUUGUCUUUAUUUGAGGGUUGUCACGUGCAUGCAAUAGCACAGAAUAUUGGAGCUCUAACAGCACAAGGAAGAGGCAGUAUCCUGGAGGACACGGGGUUUUCAUUCGUGAACUGUAAGGUCACGGGGUCAGGAGCUCUGUACCUUGGAAGGGCAUGGGGUCCUUUUUCAAGAGUCGUGUUUGCUUACACUUACAUGGACAACGUUAUCAUACCUAAAGGCUGGUAUAACUGGGGAGACCCUACCCGUGAAAUGACUGUGUUCUAUGGGCAAUACAAGUGCACAGGACCAGGAGCUAGCUUCGCAGGGAGAGUCUCAUGGUGUAGAGAACUCACUGAUCAGGAGGCUAAGCCUUUUAUUUCCCUCAGCUUCAUUGAUGGGUCUGAAUGGAUCAAAAUAUAAACGUAUUUAUAUUUUUCACAGUAUAAUUUUAUGUCCUUGUCAAUUAGCAUUUGUAAAAGCCAUCUUAGUGAUAAUUUUGG